rnacentral:sRNA from 1 species
UAGCCUAGACUUAAGAGCAGCCAGACCAGUUGCUCAAUUCUUUUUCCCAGCUCCCCAGGUUACAACACCCAGGGACAGUACCCUGAACAAGUUCCAGGGCUCACUGUAUAUAUUCAAGGACUCUUGGCUCUCUCCGUGGAGCUGGUUUUUGGCAGGUGGAAACCAAUUGGCCCAGGCUGAUCAUGGCUGCACUCAACCCAGCUUCAAUAUUUGGACAGGAGCAAGGCAUGUGUGCAGAGGCAGCAAGAGAGUUGAGAGGGUUUUAGCUCUGAGUGAGACUGAAGGGAUUUGACAUGUUAUUGAAUCCUGGUGCAAGAGGUGAACUCUGGGCCGCCACGCAUCCCAGGAAUGCGGAUGUAGCGCUCUCAGCGCAUAUCUGAAGCUGACAGGGGUUGACAGUCCCCAUCUGGGAACAAUAACCCAAGCUGCACGCCCGCCCGCCCGUCCGCCUGGCCUGGGCAGGGGCUGCUCCCUGACCCCGCCCCUUUCCACCUCCGGAGCCCUGACUCUAACGUGGUGCGCACAAGAAGGGAGUUUCGCCUCUCUUGCAGUCUCCUGAGUCCUGGGGACCGCUGAGCAGGGCAGGUUGUGGGAUACUUGUCAUUCCAGGAGCAGCAGGCUGCGACAUGGUCCAUUUCUCCUCUGGGAGACCUGAGUGGAACGCUGCGGGGAGGCAAUUUGGGAUGCCAACUGAUCACCCAGCCGGCUGUGGGUCUCCUCGCUUCAGGGAAGCCAGGGUAGUGAUGUAUUUGUGUCCCGGUGAAUACCUCGGGCAUUCUUUGUUCCCUUGGGGAGGCGCUUCCAUAGUGAAGUUCAAAGCACCCGCUCACAAGCCACGUACCCUAAUCCUCUCUCUGAUCUGGAUUUUGUUGUGUAACUAAACUGAUUACAAGACUUUGGCUGGCACUUGGGCUAGGCUGUGUCUUUGGGAUAGCCUCUCACAGGCUUCGUUGCCACGUGGUGAUACACCAGCUGAGGGCCCUGUGACGAUGUGGGGGAGUUUGUGAAGCAGCAAGAAAUCUGGGGCUGGGACCUCACAAUGGCAUUAGCCUACCUCACCCUUGCUAUGCACUGUGGCUUCUCUCUUCUUCCCUAGUCCUUGACGAGCAUCUCAGACCAUACGCGAUGCCAUUCCUGAGCCAGCCUUGUCCAACAACACUGUUCUUCCCACUCCUGUGUCUUUGAUUUCUGGUCUUCUCCAUAGUGGCAGCUCCUACCAAUGCCCAUAUUGUCCCAGCAAUCAGGCUUCUGUCCGAGAACCCAGAAUUCCAUGCCUCUACUGGGUCAAGAAUCUGCCAGCAAACGGCUGAGGAGCCUCAUGCUUGGUCCACUCUUGCCCUUCCACUGCAAACAUGCUAUUCCUAUGCUCUCUACCAGCACCAAUGGUUCUGCCCCCGGGAUGAUGAGCGAGCAGAAUAUUGGACAGACCAGAAGCAGGGCAAGUUCUUGCUGCAUAAAGGAUCUAACAGACAGUCUCCUGUGAGAAUAGAAGCUACGUCUUAAACUACAUCAGAGGCAAACGUGAGUGGUUCAGACAGGAACUGCUCAGACCACCAGCCUUUGGAGACUUUGGACUCUAUGGUGAAGCUUCUCUUUUCCUGUGCUGGCACAGCUGGAGCACCCAAUGUCCUCUGCAAGCUGCUCAUGAGAACCUGCCUCCCAUGUUGACAAGAUGUACCCAGUCCUGCACAGUGAUGGUACAGGGAAUUCAAAGCUAAGCAAGACCCUGCUGGUGCCGGACGCACAGACAUUCCUUCUCAGAAGUCACCACAGUGAUGAUCAUUCUGGAACACAGUCAUCCUCCACACCCAGCCGGUCUUGAACUAUACAGUAUUUUCAGCUCCUCUGGAGGAAAGGAAGUGCAGGCGAUCUGAAGGCCGGGGCUGCAAUUGGGAGGCAACUGAGGUACAAAGCAAAUAAAACACCUCUGGGGCCGUGCGCAGUCCCUGAGAUCUGUCCCCGUGGUGGCUACCUCCUUGCUCGCUUUCCAAGGCUUCCAGUAUCUGAAAGGACCGAAGUGUUGGAGUCAGACGAUUUGGAUUUCAUGGAGGCAGAGGCCAUUCUUGGGCAAACCACAGACCAACGUGGUACUGGUGGCUCCAGGAAGCAGGGGCAGCUUCAAGAGCUUUAACCAACACUGGACAGGGGAUCACAUGCAAUCUAGAGAUGGCUGAAAGUCUGUGAGAAGGUACAUUCCGGCUACAUGCAAAUGACAGGCCAUUUCACGUAAGAGACUUCAGUGGCUAAGGAAUUGGGGAAUGUAUGGGGUGUCCUGGAACUGCAGGUGCUGAAGGCCAGAGAGACAACAAGCUUGGACCAUGAAUCUAAGCGGUUCGGAGCAUGGAACUGAACAAAGGAUUCAGGGAGGUAAGGCGUGCCGUGGAAAGAGGCUACUUUGGGUUCACGCUGUCUUGUUACGUGAGAGAGAAGCUGCUGAGGGUCCCUGUGCGGGAUAAGCUGUUGAGAAACUUCCAGGGCCCAUCUGAGCAGCAAUGUGCACAUUGUUCUCCCUAGUGUUCUCGGGCUGGCAUAUGCUGCAUCUACAAGAAGCCAAUCCUAAACUCACAAAAGGCCCGCGUGGCAGUCCAAUGCAAUAGCAAUCUUCCCAUCUUUCACUUGGGGACAGAGAACAGAGGAAUGUCUUGACUCUUGGCUGCACGGCAGCCCCAGCCAAUGAACACAAGAACGGCUUUCGCACGAGCUGUCCUUCUGUCUCCUUAUCUGAGCCUCCUAAUUCCUCCUAAUGAGGAAUCCGGGAGAUAAUUUGACAAGUUAUAAGUAAUUCCCUCUCGACCAUGGACAAAAAGGACAACGCAGGCCUGAGGAGUUGCUCUCUGUUUCACCCUCGUCAUGAAAAUACAAGAUUAAACAUAUAUGUUGUCAGUCUCUCUUAUACAACGUUCUCACUAGAUAUUAGAUACAUCGCUGGGAUGCCAAGUCAGCCGUAACUUAUUUACUGUCGAGCUACAAAUACAUCCUGCAGUUUAGCACAUGGGGUUACACCGACAUUAAAAAAAAAAAUAAAAGUUUGGCUUUUGCUUGCCUUAGGGGUCAGCUGAGAAUCAGCUUGGACAACCCUGGAGUUUUCCUACCGUGUAACACUUCAAAUCUAGGGUAGAUGGCUUUGCAUUCCCGGUGAAUUAGCAAGAAUAAAGCUUCGCACAAAAUUCCCGGCAGAGACAGCCCAGCAUUCCAACCCCUCUACUCCUUGGAAUGUACGGUUCUUCUCUCAGCUCCGUUCUGCUGCUCACAGCUUCUACCGUGGAGCUAAGUUAUUUCUUUAUAUAGAAGCCAGGGCCCUUGUUAAAUCGAGCCCAUGAGUCAUUUGUACAUUUCCUAAAAACCCACCCCAUCUCACCCCUCCCGUCUGCUAGCCAUUUUCUUUUGCAAUCAGGAGAAACAGGCAUCGGUAACGAGGACGUCCUGGUGAAAAGCUGAAAUGUUCUCGGACGAGGUCAAGGGACAUGUUUCCUUGGGGUGACUGAAUCUUAAGCUUGUCAUGUCUCCAUUUGCAUCCUCACCAACUAGGUAACUCCUCCUGUGAGUUUGGAUGUGAGCUCGUACUCUGACUUCAUUGUACCUGCGAGAGUAGAGGGUCGAGUGAGGGAUCGGAAGAGUUGGAUGGGUCCUAUAAUCUUACAAUCUUGAUAAUGCAGGAAGAGUCAAUGCCUUGGGGCCCCCACAUGGCUUACUAGUUCAUCCUGCAGAAGAAGUGAGAAAUGGGGUGCAGGCUUGCUAUUUCCCGGGUUCACAGGCAGGUACAAAGGCUUCCAUUCCAUUUUUUAGCAUGCUCUUGCUUAGGAGCUGAGGGUCUGAUGAAAGAAAAGUCAUUGGUUUCUAUGCAAAGACAACGAGGAAGCCUAACAUGUCCUUAGGAGGUUUUGUAGCUCCCAGAAGCAGGAGGAGGGCAAAUAUUAGGUAUAUCCAAUCCAUUUAGGAAUUUGAGGCCAACAGGAUAAACAAUCACUUCAAUUGUCUGUAUCGUUCUUCCGGGGUGAGUGUAUUCUGAUCAUAAAAUCCUGUCAGGUGUCAGUGAAGCUCUUGUUCCCGGGGACCCAAGGCCGACACUCAUUCCUUUUUGUUUUGUAAUCUUCUAAAUAAAUGAUGUGUUAUCAAGACAAGGGUGGAUGGACAUGCUCAGAGGACCCUUCCUGCCAGAGAAGGGACGGAAAGGGUCUAAAGGGCAUUGUCACUUUCUGUGUGCCUCGUUAUCGCCCUUUUCAAUUCACUAAAGGAACUCCUAAAAAUGGCCCUGUUAAUGUUAGUGGGCCCGUCAGUUCCCAGUACUGAAUACUCCCACAGACUUGGA